rnacentral:tRNA from 1 species
GGCCUCGUAGCUCAGCUGGUAGAUCGUGCGCGUACAAAGCGUAGGCGGUGUCCAUGCGUGGGUUCGAGUCUCACCGAGGCUA